rnacentral:rRNA from 1 species
UGCAAGUCGAGCGGUAGCACAGAGAGCUUGCUCUCGGGUGACGAGCGGCGGACGGGUGAGUAAUGUCUGGGAAACUGCCUGAUGGAGGGGGAUAACUACUGGAAACGGUAGCUAAUACCGCAUAACGUCGCAAGACCAAAGUGGGGGACCUUCGGGCCUCAUGCCAUCAGAUGUGCCCAGAUGGGAUUAGCUAGUAGGUGGGGUAACGGCUCACCUAGGCGACGAUCCCUAGCUGGUCUGAGAGGAUGACCAGCCACACUGGAACUGAGACACGGUCCAGACUCCUACGGGAGGCAGCAGUGGGGAAUAUUGCACAAUGGGCGCAAGCCUGAUGCAGCCAUGCCGCGUGUGUGAAGAAGGCCUUCGGGUUGUAAAGCACUUUCAGCGGGGAGGAAGGCGUUGAGGUUAAUAACCUUGUCGAUUGACGUUACCCGCAGAAGAAGCACCGGCUAACUCCGUGCCAGCAGCCGCGGUAAUACGGAGGGUGCAAGCGUUAAUCGGAAUUACUGGGCGUAAAGCGCACGCAGGCGGUCUGUCAAGUCGGAUGUGAAAUCCCCGGGCUCAACCUGGGAACUGCAUUCGAAACUGGCAGGCUAGAGUCUUGUAGAGGGGGGUAGAAUUCCAGGUGUAGCGGUGAAAUGCGUAGAGAUCUGGAGGA